UGGCGACCGGCGCACGGGUGAGUAACACGUAUCCAACCUGCCGUCUACUCUUGGACAGCCUUCUGAAAGGAAGAUUAAUACAAGAUGGCAUCAUGAGUCCACAUGUUCACAUGAUUAAAGGUAUUCCGGUAGACGAGUGGGGAUGCGUUCCAUUAGAUAGUAGGCGGGGUAACGGCCCACCUAGUCUUCGAUGGAGUAGGGGUUCUGAGAGGAAGGUCCCCCACAUUGGAACUGAGACACGGUCCAAACUCCUACGGGAGGCAGCAGUGAGGAAUAUUGGUCAAUGGGCGAGAGCCUGAACCAGCCAAGUAGCGUGAAGGAUGACUGCCCUAUGGGUUGUAAACUUCUUUUAUAAAGGAAUAAAGUCGGGUAUGGAUACCCGUUUGCAUGUACUUUAUGAAUAAGGAUCGGCUAACUCCGUG
rnacentral:rRNA from 1 species